rnacentral:rRNA from 1 species
CAGGUGGUCAAGGAGAGAAUCCUGAGGCGCUCGGAUGAAUCACGGUUAAGGAACUCGGCAAAUUAGCCCCGUAACUUCGGGAAAAGGGGCGCCAGCAGCAAUGCUGGCCGCAGAAAAAUGGCUCAGGCGACUGUUUAUCAAAAACACAGGGCUCUGCAAAAUCGCAAGAUGAAGUAUAGGGCCUGACACCUGCCCGGUGCCGGAAGGUUAAGAGGAGAGGUUAGCGCAAGCGAAGCUUUGAAUCGAAGCCCCGGUAAACGGCGGCCGUAACGAUAACGGUCCUAAGGUAGCGAAAUUCCUUGUCGGGUAAGUUCCGACCUGCACGAAUGGUGUAACGAUCUGAGCACUGUCUCAACCGUGAGUCCGGUGAAAUUGUAGUAUCGGUGAAGAUGCCGGUUACCCGCUACGGGACGGAAAGACCCCGUGAACCUUCACUAUAGCUUUACAUUGACAUUUGACAAAAGUUGUGUAGGAUAGGUGGGAGGCUUCGAAGCGGUUUCGCCAGGAAUCGUGGAGCCACCGUUGAAAUACCACCCUUCGUUUGUCGGGUGUCUAACGUCGCGGUGCGACAGACAGUGUAUGGCGGGUAGUUUGACUGGGGUGGUCGCCUCCAAAAAAGUAUCGGAGGCUUCCAAAGGUACCCUCAGCACGCUUGGUAACCGUGCGCAGAGUGCAAUGGCAUAAGGGUGCUUGACUGCGAGACCAACAAGUCGAGCAGGGACGAAAGUCGGGCAUAGUGAUCCGGCGGUUCCGUAUGGAAGGGCCGUCGCUCAAAGGAUAAAAGGUACUCCGGGGAUAACAGGCUGAUCACUCCCAAGAGCUCACAUCGACGGAGUGGUUUGGCACCUCGAUGUCGGCUCGUCACAUCCUGGGGCUGGAGAAGGUCCCAAGGGUUAGGCUGUUCGCCUAUUAAAGUGGCACGCGAGCUGGGUUCAGAACGUCGUGAGACAGUUCGGUCCCUAUCUGUAGCGGGCGUUGGAAAAUUGCGGAGAGCUGACCCUAGUACGAGAGGACCGGGUCGGACGUACCUCCGGUGUACCUGUUGUCUCGCCAGAGGCACCGCAGGGUAGCCGCGUACGGAACGGAUAAGCGCUGAAAGCAUCUAAGCGCGAAGCCGACUCCAAGAUGAGUUUUCCUUAUCAGGGCCGUGGAAGAUCACCACGUCGAUAGGCCACAGGUGUAAAGGCGGUAACGUCAAAGCCGAGUGGUACUAAUUGCCU